AUCUUUACUGAUCAGGGGUUUAUAUAAUAUAAUUACCCUCAUGGCUUUGGGGUUAUCGGAAUAAUCGACUGGCUGACACUUGUAGUUGUAAUCGAAAAGCCAUCCAGCUAUAAGGCCCUCGUACACCAGUGCGAAUCGUCCAAUCAGAUAUCUGGAUGUCCGUUAGUGGGAAUUUUAAUGGCAACAGUUGUUAUUCUUCAUGGAAAACAACUUCAUGCUGACAUUUUGAUCGUUCGGCUUAUUACGCCGAGGCCCUUCACUGUUUAAAAGUGCAACGUACCAAAAACACGCAACGUAAAACGGCCUUGACAAUGCAACAAGUCUGACCACUAAUUGAAGUUCUGAAAAAAUUCUUCUUUCCGGGGAAUCCCCGCACGAUGGAAUUCAGGCGGAUACAUAUUACUACGACUGAUAAAGAUAAGGAAAAAAUUAAAAAGCCAAUCCAAUUGUCUCAUUGAAAAUUGUUCUUAAUUGGAGAUGAAAAAAUUGUGCAAACUUUCAAGCUGUUAGUCAGUAGCGACGUUGAUGACGAUUUUAUCGAGUAUAAAUAUGGUGCAUUCAGUAUCAUUACAAAUCUGUAUCUCAAUCACAAUUUUCAACAAACGAUUACUUUCUAAUGUGAUAAAGGAUUCAUAUUAUCUCUAAGUCGAUAUACGCCAUCCAAGCCGCGCUCUAUGAAGCAAACACAUUUUUUAACUCAGAAAGGGCAUCUGCCUGUUUGAAAUAAGAUUGUAAUAAAUGUACGUGAAUAACGAGCACAGUAUAAAUAAUUCCCUGACACUAUGAAACCUGCUUUACUAUAAGUAAAGGUUAAUUUUAAAUAUGAA